AGCAGCCGCGGUAAUUCCAGCUCCAAUAGCGUAUAUUAAAGUUGCUGCAGUUAAAAAGCUCGUAGUUGAAUUUCGGGACCGAUAUAUCGGUCGUGCCUCGGUACGUACUGGUAUUUUCGGUUUCUCCCUUCUGACGAACCUUGAUGUCAUUAAUUUGGUGUCUUGGGGAAUCAGGACUGUUACUUUGAAAAAAUUAGAGUGUUUAAAGCAGGCUCACGCUUGAAUACAUUAGCAUGGAAUAAUGAAAUAGGACGUUUGAUUCUAUUUUGUUGGUUUCUAGGAUCGACGUAAUGAUUAAUAGGGAUAGUUGGGGGCAUUAGUAUUCAAUUGUCAGAGGUGAAAUUCUUGGAUUUAUUGAAGACUAACUACUGCGAAAGCAUUUGCCAAGGAUGUUUUCAUUAAUCAAGAACGAAAGUUAGGGGAUCGAAGACGAUCAGAUACCGUCGUAGU
rnacentral:rRNA from 1 species